UCCUCAGUAGCUCAAUGGUAGAGUGAACAACUAUUAAUUAAUUGGUCAUAGGUUUGAAUCCUACUUGGGGAG
rnacentral:tRNA from 1 species